rnacentral:rRNA from 1 species
UACGUAGGGUGCAAGCGUUGUCCGGAAUUAUUGGGCGUAAAGAGCUCGUAGGUGGCCUGUCGCGUCGGCUGUGAAAACUCGGGGCUCAACUCCGAGCUUGCAGUCGAUACGGGCAGGCUAGAGUUCGGCAGGGGGAGACUGGAAUUCCUGGUGUAGCGGUGAAAUGCGCAGAUAUCAGGAGGAACACCGGUGGCGAAGGCGGGUCUCCGGGCCGAUACUGACACUGAGGAGCGAAAGCGUGGGGAGCGAACAGG